AAAAGAAACUAACAAGGAUUCCCCUAGUAGCGGCGAGCGAAGCGGGAAGAGCUCAAAUUUAUAAUCUGGCACCUUCGGUGUCCGAGUUGUAAUCUCUAGAAGUGUUUUCCGCGUUGGACCGCACACAAGUCUGUUGGAAUACAGCGGCAUAGUGGUGAGACCCCCGUAUAUGGUGCGGACGCCCAACGCUUUGUGAUACACUUUCGAAGAGUCGAGUUGUUUGGGAAUGCAGCUCAAAUUGGGUGGUAAAUUCCAUCUAAAGCUAAAUAUUGGCGAGAGACCGAUAGCGAACAAGUACCGUGAGGGAAAGAUGAAAAGCACUUUGGAAAGAGAGUUAACAGUACGUGAAAUUGUUGGAAGGGAAACGCUUGAAGUCAGACUUGCUUGCCGAGCAAUCGGUUUGCAGGCCAGCAUCAGUUUUCCGGGGUGGAUAAUGGUAGAGAGAAGGUAGCAGUUUCGGCUGUGUUAUAGCUCUUUGCUGGAUACACCUUGGGGGACUGAGGAACGCAGUGUGCCUUACGGCGGAUUUCUCGAGAUCUUCACACUUAGGAUGCUGGUGGAAUGGCUUUAAACG
rnacentral:rRNA from 1 species